ACGCGCCGUCGAAUUGAUUAACUGUAUAGAGAAAUUCUUUCGUUAUAACGAUUAUAAGUAUAUGCGAAAGAGAGAGAGAGAGAGAGAGAGAGAGAGGGGGUUAGAAUCUCGGUUUCGUAAACCGAGCGCGCGCGCGAACAUAGCUUCGAUGGAAAAGCACGAAUUGCGAAUUAAGUACACAGCGCAGCGGCAGGCCGGUCAUUUCGGAAUAAUUCAUUUCGCGUUGUUUCUCUCUCCGCGGGAAUUCGCUCGAUGGAUGUUAAUUCGCCUAAUGGCCGUGAGAACCGCUCCUAAGCUGUUCCGUUGCAUUUCACACACACACACACGCACAGCAACAGUACAAGCAAACCGUCCGAAAAUUAAACGAGGAGUAAGCGCGCGCAUCUCUGCAAGCAUGCCAGAGAGUCCGAAAAAAGUCGGUCCGAGAGGACCUUGACCCAGAUGCAUCGGACGCAGCAAGUGUGCAUCAGCGGCUGCAUUCCGAGGAACAAAAACCGGCAACAGAAGUAUCGAGGGGAUGAAAAACAUCACUUGGAUUCUCAAGACUAAUCUUCUUAUCUAACACGACCAGCAGCUCUGUUAAUUGGCAAGUUAAGCAUAACAGGAUCAAUUUUCAACACUUUACCCAUAGCUCGAGCUGGCGAGUCACGCGAUCGGCUAAUAAUAAGAGGCAGCAAAUCCGGACAAAAAACCUCGUAGAAGACCUCGGAAUCUCGACUGCAACAAAAGCAUUCCAAGUCAUCAUCGGCCUCGAGAACAGAACAGCAGCGCAUCCCGACAAAAGAACACAUCCUGCCGUCGUUGUAUAACACGUAAUAUAAUACACAUACAAUAUAAACACCCUCGAAACUCAGCGAACGCGUGACCUCCAACGUUAGAGAGAAGAAUCCUCGGCUCUUUUUCCGGCUGAGAACACGAGUCCUGAGAACCAAGACACAGAGAAAGGACCGGAAAGGAGGAGCUUCGGAGAGGAGAAAUUGUCCAGAGAUAUGUUGGAGCUUGUGUAUUACUGGAAUUUGUUUCGAAUAACCAAUCUUUCGAAUGUCCAUCUUGAGUCAAUCGAGCUCUCGCAUAAAUGAUCGAAAUAUUGGUGGAUUUACGAUGACUGGUUGCAAAGAGUAUUCUGGGCUACAAUUAAGCUCCACAGAAGUUCGAAUCAAUUCGCUUAAGAUAAGUACACCCAACACAUUUUCCUCAUAUCCAUUCGCGCUAUUUUUAAAACGCACAAUAACAGCAAUAUUCAGCAGGACAUCACUCACAGUUUUUAAUACUUUUUAGCAAGGACUUCUCGUGCUCAUCGGCGCACUCACAGCACUCUCUCCUCGCGGCCGAUGUGACGGCAAAACUACAGGCAUAACAUUUGCAUAUAACGUGUUCGCCGUUAUAUCCGCGACUGAAAUGCCUUCCAGCGCAAUACCUCAGUCAUGCAUAGCUGUUCGUGCGUCAGUUGCACCUCGACUUGGCAGAUAGCACCGAAUUAAUCAUAGUUACCUGAAUUAUUAUUAAUAUCGACGCACUGGAUACUUUCGUUUCUGCGGCGUUGAAAUCCUGUCGGAUUUAUAUGCAUCACGUGCGGACGUUUGCAUUCGAUAUUUUUACACGAAAACGAGGCCACUCUUGACGAUGGCAAUUCGCGCGUCGAAUAUAUAAGGACUUUGUAUUAUUAUUUGAGAGAAAAUUUUGGUGUUGCGGGAGAUUUAUUUUAAAAAAUUUGAUUGCGCAUGUAUUGUAUAGGUUCCACGAUCAUGAUUUACAGUAUUAUUCGAAAUCAUGUGUAGAGAGUCCGGGUAAACUACCAGAGCUUUCACGCGCGUCGGCGAAAAAUUCUGCCCAUAUAAAGCGCUGCGGGGACUGUCGUAAUCUUGUCGCGAAGUCCAGAACUGGAGUUUCUCUCUCAGAGGUCUCUUUCCUCGCCGAAAAAUCGCCCUUCGUUUCAUUCUCUGAUUCACCAUAAGUAUCGGAGUAGGUAGCGCCGCAUCUGUGUCAAAUAAAUACGGGCGCGCAGGAAAUCGGUCACGAUCGACCUUCGCGAUUCAUCGAUGACUCAAUGGAUCGGUCCGUUUCUCUCCAUGUGUACACACACUUAUGUACAUACAUGUAUAUAAGGUAUACUCGUACGUGUAUGCCGAAGAGGAGGCCUCUCGCAUCGAAAGCACUUUAACGAGCGAACCGAAAUAAAUUUACUCUGGAUUUAUGCGAUAGACGGUAGUACCGAUACUCAUGACGUGGAAUCUAUAUAGAAGUUUGGGAGUUGAAGGAAUCCAAUCGAUUGAAUUGGCUUCGCUGAAGUUUUUUACUUUAUGUAUCGAACGUAUAUAAGAAUAUUAUCUUACGUCAGUCCGACUCUUGUAAACUGUUAAGUCAUACUUAUAAAAAUUAUCGAUCGUGAUUCAUAUACCUUUUUUGUACCGCGUGUGAUUCUUCCAAGGAUUAAUCCGAACGUAUACGUUAUUUUUAUUAUUGUUAUUAUGCGUGCCGCAACAAUGCGAUUAUUAAUAUUCGGAUCCUCCAUUCACACUAGGACAAUAUGGUCUAAAAAUAAACACAGUGCAUUAUAACAUCGCCAA